rnacentral:rRNA from 1 species
CAGUAGCCAGCGGGAACACGGAGGGAGCUAGCGUUGUUCGGAAUUACUGGGCGUAAAGCGCGCGUAGGCGGUUACUCAAGUCAGAGGUGAAAGCCCGGGGCUCAACCCCGGAACUGCCUUUGAAACUAGGUGACUAGAAUCUUGGAGAGGUCAGUGGAAUUCCGAGUGUAGAGGUGAAAUUCGUAGAUAUUCGGAAGAACACCAGUGGCGAAGGCGACUGACUGGACAAGUAUUGACGCUGAGGUGCGAAGGCGUGGGGAGCAAACAGGAUUAGAUACCCGCGUAGUCCCUGUCUCUUAUA